rnacentral:rRNA from 1 species
CAUUUAGAGGAAGUAAAAGUCGUAACAAGGUUUCCGUAGGUGAACCUGCGGAAGGAUCAUUAUUAUUUGGGUCGGGUUUACUUCUUAACAAGAAAUAGACUUUUACCAAAUAAAAUUUAUUUUUUACUCCUAUUAGGAGCAAGAUGAACUUAUAUUUAAAACCCACCUCUUUAAAUGUAUAUUUUUUAUUUCAAAUGAUAAUUAAAGAUCACUUUCAACAACGGAUCUCUUGGCUCUCGCAUCGAUGAAGAACGUAGCGAAGUGCGAUAAGUAAUGUGAAUUGCAGAAUUCCGUGAAUCAUCGAAUCUUUGAACGCAUAUUGCACUCUCUGGUAUUCCGGAGAGUAUGCCUGUUUGAGGGUCUGUUAAAUAAAAAUCGGGGUUGUUGCUGCUUUUUGUGGUGACGCUUCGGAAUUGGGUAGUCUUACCUUCGGGUUAAGUGACCUAAAAUUUUACAUGAUUUUUCGAACGUAUUUGAAUUUUUACGUACGUUUGUGAUAUCGAUAUUAGGUGUGGUCAUCCUCAUGAUUCACGUCUAUAAUUUUUUCAUUUUUAGACCUCAAAUCAGGUAAGAACACCCGCUGAACUUAAGCAUAUCAAUAAGCGGAGGAAAGGGCGAAU